CGUCCUAUUAGCUAGUUGGUGAGGUAAUGGCUCACCAAGGCUACGAUGGGUAGGGGUUCUUAGUGGAAGGUCCCCCACACUGGCACUGAGAUACGGGCCAGACUCCUACGGGAGGCAGCAGUAGGGAAUAUUGGUCAAUGGGCGCAAGCCUGAACCAGCCAUGCCGCGUGCAGGAUGAAGGCUCUCUGAGUUGUAAACUGCUUUUGUACAGGAGCAAAAAAAUCCCUGCGGGGGUUCUUGAGAGUACUGUAAGAAUAAGCACCGGCUAAUUCCGUGCCAGCAGCCGCGGUAAUACAGGAGGUGCAAGCGUUAUCCGGUUUUAUUGGGUUUAAAGGGUGCGUAGGCGGCUUAUUAAGUCAGUUGUGAAAUCCUAGUGCUUAACGCUAGAACUGCAAUUGAUACUAUU
rnacentral:rRNA from 1 species